CCUACGGGAGGCAGCAGUGGGGAAUAUUGGACAAUGGGCGAAAGCCUGAUCCAGCCAUGCCGCGUGUGUGAAGAAGGUCUUCGGAUUGUAAAGCACUUUAAGUUGGGAGGAAGGGUUGUAGAUUAAUACUCUGCAAUUUUGACGUUACCGACAGAAUAAGCACCGGCUAACUCUGUGCCAGCAGCCGCGGUAAUACAGAGGGUGCAAGCGUUAAUCGGAAUUAUUGGGUUUAAAGGGUGCGCAGGCGGUCUGUUAAGUCAGCGGUCAAAGCCCGGGGCUCAACCCCGGCCCGCCGUUGAAACUGGCAGUCUCGAGUUGGAGAGAAGUAUGCGGAAUGCGCGGUGUAGCGGUGAAAUGCAUAGAUAUCGCGCAGAACUCCGAUUGCGAAGGCAGCAUGCCGGCUCCACACUGACGCUGAGGCACGAAAGCGUGGGUAUCGAACAGGAUUAGAUACCCUUGUAGUC
rnacentral:rRNA from 1 species